CCUGUACCUGGCCAGCUGCCGCCGCACAGGCCUCUAGUCACCUCCAGAGGCCUGGGCCGGGGACCUCCUGAGUUCUCACCUGGUUGGGGGCGGUGGGGGGACGGUCAGCACCAUCUGGGAAUUCAGGCCCAGGGCACUGGCCGAGGAGCCAGAGCUGCUGGGGAAGGCAGGGAGAGACGCCCACUCACGGGGUGGGGGGACUGCCACGAAGGGGAACAACAGCCCUGGGGGAGGCGUGUGGCAGUCAAACACCAGCCCGGAGCAUUUAUAGCGCCUCUGUGAGAGGCUCUGAUUGGCUCAGGUUUCCGCACUCCAGGACGGGGCGCUCCUAUUGGUCAGAGCUCAAGCCCGCCCCCAACCUGUGGUUGUCUUUGGCUCCGCCCCCAAGCCCUCGUCCAAUCAGCUGCGCAGGCAGGUAGCAGCUAAGUGCUGUGCUCGGGAUGGCGGGUGGUACCCGCUCGGAGGCCCUGCGGCCAGGAGAACUUGGUCAUCUCGGUCAUCUCAGCUAUCUCGGCUGCGGCCACCCCUAACGCCCCGGUGAUCUGGGCGACUCACUUCCUCUCUCAUCUGCACAACGGGGCAAAUAGACUGGACGACCUUUACUGGUCCUGCUUGGAUCGCCUUACACAACGCGCGCAGCUUUUCAAGCAUCGGACCAGCCAGGGGGCACCAGCACCAUUCCAGCUGUGGCCAGAAGGCUCCUCUCUCCCGAGGAGAUCCAAGCGCAACGCAUUCAGGCCCAGAGUAGCCCAGUGUUUCCGGUCCUCCCACGGCCAAGCCCGUCCCUUCCAGCCCAGGAAGGCUGGGGCGGGAGGAACAGCUGGGCUGCCUGUCAGAGCGAAAGGAGAUCAAGCUGGUUUUACCGCGGCUUUCGUAGCUCUGAGUCACAGCGUGGCUGAGGAGGGGGCAUUGGAGCAGCCACGGCGUCCUCAUUUGCCUUCAAUCCUGAUGCCAACCUGGACAUUUAUGUCCCGACACCCCUCCCCCCCAACACACACUGGAAUAUCAGCUCCCUGAGGGUGAGGGACCUUGCCUGUUGUGUUGACUGCUGUUCAUGCAGCAUGCAGAAUAAGGCCUGGUCCGUAGUGAUGUACUCAGUGAAUAUUUGUUGAAUGACUGAGUGAGCUCAGGAUGUCAGCAGGAGUGAGGGAGACGGUGUGGUAGAGUUGAAAGAGACAGAUCUGAGUUUGAGCCUAAUUCCACCGCUGACUUGUUACGUGAACUUGAACAGUUUAAACCUCUUUUUAAAUUCUCUGUAGCUGUUUCUCUGUAAAAUGGGGUUAAGUGGAUUAUUCUCUUGGACCCCAAUGGGGCAUCUUCAGGUUGAGGAGAGGGGCCAGUUGAGCAGCAGGCAGGGUUGGCAGGACAGCCACAAGGCCCACCUCGGGGAUCAGGAUGGGGCCCCGGAAUCCAUUCCGUAGACCAAAGCUUCCCAACUGGAGGAGAGUUUGUCCCCCAGAGGACAUCUGGCAAUGUCUGGAGACAUUUUGGGUUGUCACACUGGAGGAAUACUACUGGCUUCUAAUGGAUUGAGGCCAGGGAUGCUGCUGAACACCCUGCAAUGCCCAGGACAGCCCCCACAACAAAGGAUGAGCUGACCCACAAUGUUAGUAACGCUGAGGUUGAGACAACCUGGUCUAGACCAAAGAGAGCAUUCAGAGCCUCAGAUUUGCCAUCUGUAGAAUGGGAGGAGGAAAAGGUGAUCACCCCAUGGGCAGGCUCCCCCCAAGUCAGAGCCUAGAAGCCCCCAAACCUGCCAUUGCCCAGAGGGCCGGAAGAGGAAGAGGGAGCCAUGAGCACCGGUGCCUCCCAGGGUGGGUGGCUCCCCUGAGCUCCAGGGGGGCACUCCAGGGUCUCUCUCCCCACACAUAAAUCAGCACGGGAUGGCAGGAGCAGUGGCAGCCCUAAUUGAUGGCAAGCAGCUGUGUCACCGUUCAAAGAGCUUUCCAGUAUUUCUUCCUUAAU
rnacentral:lncRNA from 1 species